UACGUAGGGGGCAAGCGUUGUCCGGAUUUAUUGGGCGUAAAGAGCGUGUAGGCGGCCAGGUAGGUCCGUUGUGAAAACUCGAGGCUCAACCUCGAGACGUCGGCGGAAACCCUCUGGCUAGAGUCCGGAAGAGGAGAGUGGAAUUCCUGGUGUAGCGGUGAAAUGCGCAGAUAUCAGGAGGAACACCGGUGGCGAAGGCGGGUCUCUGGGCCGAUACUGACGCUGAGGAGCGAAAGCGUGGGGAGCGAACAGG
rnacentral:rRNA from 1 species